CAGAGUUUACAACUCCCAAACCCUUAUGUGAACAUACCACGAUGUUGCUUCGGCGGACUCGCCCCGGCGUCCGGACGGCCUAGCGCCGCCCGCGGCCCGGAUCCAGGCGGCCGCCGGAGACCACCAAAACUAUUUUGUAUCAGCAGUUUUUUCUGAAUCCGCCGCAAGGCAAAACAAAUGAAUCA
rnacentral:misc_RNA from 1 species